rnacentral:siRNA from 1 species
UUAUGGAUUGUCGUCAUGCAAGA